AUCGCAGCCCAAAGUAGGUGGUAUACUUCAUCUAAAGCUAAAUACGACUACGAAUCCGAUAGCAAACAAGUACCGUGAGGGAAAGUUGCAAAGUACUUUGAAGAGAGAGUUCAAGAGGACGUGAAACCGGUAGGGUGGAAGCAGAUAAAGUUGACGAACGUGUGUCGUAUUCAGAACUACAAUUUGUGGUUUGUUUUUACGAUCGAUGUGGGUUGGCGUCUUUGGUUAACUUAGUGUCUGGCGGCAAUGGUGACCCUGCGGAGGGAUAAUCGGUUGUCGUGCGAUGCUUGGUAUGGCUAGAGGUUCGCUGGUCUUAUAGUCAUCGCUUUAUCUGACCCGUCUUGAAACACGGACCAAGGAGUGCUUCGCUUACGCGAGUCUUAGAGUGUGUCAAAACUUUGAGGCGUAACGAAAGUAAAUGUGGAUUUAUUCACUGACUUGGGAUGCGUUGUCUUUUUUGGAUAGCGUUGGACCAUGGUUUUAUCGUAAUCGCUUGCGAUGCGGUGAAAAUAGAGCGUAAGCGGUGCGACCCGAAAGAUGGUGAACUAUGCCUGAGCAGGAUGAAGCCGGAGGAAACUCUGGUGGAAGUCCGAAGCGGUUCUGACGUGCAAAUCGAUCGUCUGACUUGGGUAUAGGGGCGAAAGACUAAUCGAACCAUCUGGUAGCUGGUUUCCUCUGAAGUCUCCUCA
rnacentral:rRNA from 1 species